rnacentral:rRNA from 1 species
AACGAACGCUGGCGGCAUGCCUAACACAUGCAAGUCGAACGAAACCUUCGGGUCUAGUGGCGCACGGGUGCGUAACGCGUGGGAACCUGCCCUUAGGUUCGGAAUAACUCCCCGAAAGGGGUGCUAAUACCGGAUAAUGUCUUCGGACCAAAGAUUUAUCGCCUUUGGAUGGGCCCGCGUUGGAUUAGCUAGUUGGUAGGGUAAAAGCCUACCAAGGCGACGAUCCAUAGCUGGUCUGUGAGGAUGAUCAGCCACACUGGGACUGAGACACGGCCCAGACUCCUACGGGAAGCAGCAGUGGGGAAUAUUGGACAAUGGGCGAAAGCCUGAUCCAGCAAUGCCGCGUGAGUGAUGAAGGCCUUAGGGUUGUAAAGCUCUUUUACCCGGGAUGAUAAUGACAGUACCGGGAGAAGAAGCUCCGGCUAACUCCGUG